rnacentral:rRNA from 1 species
GAAACCGUAUGCCUACAACCGGUCAAAGCCCCUUAUGAGGGUGAUGACGUGCUUUUUGUAGAACGAGCCAACGAGUUACGGUAUGUAGCAAGGUUAAGUACUUAAGGUACGGAGCCGAAGGGAAACCGAGUCUUAAUAGGGCGACUAGUUGCAUGCCGUAGACCCGAAACCGGGUGACCUAUCCAUGGCCAGGUUGAAGCGAGGGUAAAACUUCGUGGAGGACCGAACCACGUUGCUGUUGAAAAAGCAUGGGAUGAGCUGUGGAUAGCGGAGAAAUUCCAAUCGAACUCGGAGAUAGCUGGUUCUCCCCGAAAUAGCUUUAGGGCUAGCGUCGGAUAUGUGUAGUGGAGGUAGAGCACUGAAUGGGCUAGGGGGCAUAUCGCUUACCGAACCUUAUCAAACUCCGAAUGCCAUAUACAUUAAGUCCGGCAGUCAGACUACGAAUGAUAAGAUCCGUGGUCAAAAGGGAAACAGCCCAGACCGUCAGCUAAGGUCCCAAAGUGUAAGUUAAGUGGAAAAGGAUGUGGGAUUUCUAAGACAACUAGGAUGUUGGCUUAGAAGCAGCCACUCAUUUAAAGAGUGCGUAAUAGCUCACUAGUCGAGAGAUCCUGCGCCGAAAAUGUACCGGGGCUAAACUUACCACCGAAGCUACGGAUUUGCAAGUAAUUGCAAGUGGUAGGGGAGCGUCGUAAUCGGGCUGAAGUCGUACCGGAAGGAGCGGUGGACUGAUUACGAGUGAGAAUGUUGGCAUUAGUAGCGAGAUGUAGGUGAGAAUCCUACAGGCCGAAUAUCUAAGGUUUCCUCAGGAAGGCUCGUCCGCUGAGGGUUAGUCGGGACCUAAGCCGAGGCCGAAAGGCGUAGGCGAUGGACAAUCGGUUGAUAUUCCGAUACCACUACCAUCGUUAUUAUCGAGGGUGUGACGGAGAAGGAUAGUGUGUGCUAGCGAUUGGAAAUGCUAGUCUAAGCGUUUAGGGAGUUACGGUAGGCAAAUCCGCUGUAACAAUUCUGAGGCGUGAUGGGGAAGGUCAUUAAGACCGAAGUACAUGAUUCCAUGCUUCCAAGAAAAGCAUCUAGAGAGAGAAGUAGUGCCCGUACCGCAAACCGACACAGGUAGAUGAGGAGAGAAUCCUAAGGCCGGCGGAAGAAUUGCAGUUAAGGAACUAGGCAAAUUGACCCCGUAAGUUCGCGAGAAGGGGUGCCUGCGAGAGCAGGCCGCAGAGAAUAGGCCCAAGCAACUGUUUAGCAAAAACACAGGUCUCUGCUAAAGCGUAAGCUGAUGUAUAGGGGCUGACGCCUGCCCGGUGCUGGAAGGUUAAGGGGAACACUUAGCGCAAGCGAAGGUGUGAACUUAAGCCCCAGUAAACGGCGGCCGUAACUAUAACGGUCCUAAGGUAGCGAAAUUCCUUGUCAGGUAAGUUCUGACCCGCACGAAUGGCGUAAUGACUUGGGCACUGUCUCAACUGCAAAUCCGGCGAAGUUGUAGUGCGAGUGAAGAUGCUCGCUACCCGCGAUUGGACGGAAAGACCCCGUAGAGCUUUACUGUAGCUUAGCAUUGAAUUCCGGUAUUGUCUGUACAGGAUAGGUGGGAGACUGGGAAACUAGGGCGUCAGCCUUAGUGGAGUCAACCUUGGGAUACCACCCUGACAGUACUGGGGUUCUAACAGGACGCCAUGAAGCUGGUGACUGGACAUUGUUAGGUGGGCAGUUUGACUGGGGCGGUCGCCUCCUAAAAAGUAACGGAGGCGCCCAAAGGUUCCCUCAGAACGGUCGGAAAUCGUUCGUAGAGUGCAAAGGCAGAAGGGAGCCUGACUGCGAGACCCACAAGUCGAGCAGGGACGAAA